UCCGUUUGAUCCCGGCGGAGGUUACUGCUAUCGAGGUUCGACUAAGCCAUGCGAGUCGAAUGUAGCAAUACAUGGCGUACUGCUCAGUAACACGUGGACAACCUACCCUUGAGACGGGGAUAAACCCGGGAAACUGGGUAUAAUACCCGAUAGAUCUCGACUGCUGGAAUGCAUCGAGAUCGAAAGCUCCGGCGCCCAAGGAUGGGUCUGCGGCCUAUCAGGUAGUAGUGGGUGUAGCGUACCUACUAGCCUACGACGGGUACGGGUUGUGAGAGCAAGAGCCCGGAGAUGGAUUCUGAGACACGAAUCCAGGCCCUACGGGGUGCAGCAGGCGCGAAAACUUUACAAUGCUGGAAACAGCGAUAAGGGGACCUCGAGUGCCAGGUUACAAAUCUGGCUGUCGUGAUGCCUAAAAAGCAUUGCAUAGCAAGGGCCGGGCAAGACCGGUGCCAGCCGCCGCGGUAACACCGGCGGCUCGAGUGGUAACCGUUAUUAUUGGGUCUAAAGGGUCUGUAGCCGGCCGGAUAAGUCUCUUGGGAAAUCUGGCAGCUUAACUGUCAGGCUUUCAGGGGAUACUGUCUGGCUCGAGGCCGGGAGAGGUGAGAGGUACUUCAGGGGUAGGGGUGAAAUCUUGUAAUCCUUGAAGGACCACCAGUGGCGAAGGCGUCUCACCAGAACGGACCUGACGGCAAGGGACGAAAGCUAGGGGCACGAACCGGAUUAGAUACCCGGGUAGUCCUAGCCGUAAACGAUACUCGCUAGGUGUCGGCCACGGUGCGACCGUGGUCGGUGCCGUAGGGAAGCCGUGAAGCGAGCCACCUGGGAAGUACGGCCGCAAGGCUGAAACUUAAAGGAAUUGGCGGGGGAGCACCACAACGGGUGGAGCUUGCGGUUUAAUUGGAUUCAACGCCGGAAAUCUUACCGGGACCGACAGCAAAAUGAAGGCCAGGCUGAAGACUUUGCCGGAUUAGCUGAGAGGUGGUGCAUGGCCGUCGUCAGUUCGUACUGUGAAGCAUCCUGUUAAGUCAGGCAACGAGCGAGACCCA
rnacentral:rRNA from 1 species